rnacentral:rRNA from 1 species
CUACGGGAUGCUGCAGUGGGGAAUAUUGGACAAUGGGGGAAACCCUGAUCCAGCAAUGCCGCGUGUGUGAAGAAGGCCUGCGGGUUGUAAAGCACUUUCGGUUGGGAGGACUGCUUCUAGCACUAAUAUUGUUGGAAGUUGACGUUACCUUCAGAAGAAGCACCGGCUAACUCCGUGCCAGCAGCCGCGGUAAUACGGAGGGUGCAAGCGUGAAUCGGAAUUACUGGGCGUAAAGCGCGCGUAGGCGGCUAGAUCAGUCGGGUGUGAAAGCCCCGGGCUUAACCUGGGAACUGCAUCCGAUACUGGCUAGCUUGAGUACAGGAGAGGAGAGUGGAAUUCCACAUGUAGCGGUGAAAUGCGUAGAUAUGUGGAGGAACACCAAUGGCGAAGGCAGCUCUCUGGCCUGAUACUGACGCUGAGGUGCGAAAGCGUGGGGAGCAAACAGGAUUAGAUACCCGAGUAGUC